UUGAAACACCAUGAAGUUCACCUACACUUUGUCCCUUCUGGUUUUGUGCCUAACUUUGUACUUAACCUUCACCAAUGCUGCAAAUUUCAACAUUAUAAACCAAUGUACCUACACAGUUUGGGCAGCUGCUUCCCCAGGCGGUGGCAGGCGGCUCGACCGAGGCCAAUCAUGGUCCCUAAACGUGGCUCCUGGCACCACCCACGCUCGCAUUUGGGGCCGAACCAAUUGCAACUUUGAUGCCAAUGGCCGAGGCCAAUGUCAAACAGGUGACUGCAACGGGGGCCUCGUAUGCCAAGGCUAUGGAAAGCCUCCGAAUACACUAGCUGAAUUCGCCCUAAACCGGCCUAACAACGUAGACUACAUCGACAUUUCCAACGUUGAUGGAUUCAACAUCCCAAUGGAGUUCAGCUCCGUUACUCGUUGCCGUAAUAUCAGAUGUUCAGCGCCUAUUGUUGAUCAAUGCCCAGCUAAGCUAAGAACUCCAGGUGGAUGCAACAAUCCCUGCACUGUCUUUAAAACAAAUGAGUUCUGUUGCACCAAUGGCCCAGGAAGCUGCCGCCCGACCGACUUCUCCAGGUUCUUUAAGAGCAGGUGCCCUGAUGCUUAUAGCUAUCCUCAAGAUGAUCCCACAAGCUUGUUUACUUGCCCAAGUGGUACAAAUUAUAGGGUUGUCUUCUGCCCUUAAAUAAAGCUAGAUAUUUAAGGUUCUUGUGACAGCUUAUAUGCUCCAAGAACUUCACUAGAAAAGUAGAUUAUGAGAAAUAAACGCAUAUGUGAACCUUCUGGUAAUGGUUCACUGGAAUUGGGAUAAAUUUGAGCACAUAUAGCAUUGUGCGGUUUGUCUUCUUUAUCAGCUUUUUGGCUUUAUAAACUACUUAUGAACUAGAUGACCAGUUCAAAACUAAUGAAGUUUUACUAAAUUAAUCAGUAAGAAGGAUUUACGGAUCUCUAGUUUUAAAUUAGAUUGUCAAAAUACUUUGUUCCCCACACUUCGAAAAUUUGAGUCAUGUUUAGGUUUAACUUACAUAGGAGAAUUCCUUUUUUUUUUUUUUUCUGAAAUUCAGACCAUCUCUCCAGUCAAAUACUAAGAUGUCAUAUAAAUCAAAUUAAUUUGUUUAAGUGUAUUACACAAUCAUACUUCAUGUAUAUAAAUGUUACCACAAAAUCAAGAGUAAGAAAAGUUUGUCUUGCAACUAUUCAAGAAAUGGAAGCUUGGUGUAAAUUCAAAACAAAAAUGGAGAUUUCUAUACUAAGGUAAACCCCAAAAUAAUUGAAAAUGAUAAUCUCAUGAAAUAACAAAGAUGGUGAGAUGAAAGAUUACUAAGUAAGAUAAAGGUGCGAUUAAGGCGUUCAAUCGAGGAAACUUGUAGAUGCCAAAUUGACAAUUUGAUGCACAUAUGCUUAAUAGUAUUCAAGUGUUCAUUCUUAAAAGUUGGAAUUGGGCCAAUAUUGUAAUUCAGCCCGGUUGUAUAUUUAUUACAUUAUACUGUUAUAUUCAUGGAAACAGUGAUGUAAAUGAAUAAAACAUUUCAUCUACAGUGAAUAUAAUAUUAGGGUAAAUUAUUUAUAAUUCUUCUGUAAUUUUAUAUAAUGUCAGACGAUCUCCCAUAUGUUUCAAAAUAGUCACAUCACCCCCUAUGAUUUUAUGUAAAGCAGAGAAUAAAUAAAAAGUACUAUCAAUUACAAUGUGUAUACCAAACGUGCUCUAAAAAUAUGUGUCAUAAAAUCUUAGUUUUCAUGUAAUCCACUUAUGAGAUGUAUAAUUAUCCACUUUACCUCCUAUAAUUUUUGUAUUUAUCCAAAUAAUCCCCUAUGCUUUUAUAUAAGAUAGUUAAACUGUCAAUUGAUUUAGCAUUUAUACAAGGGCACUAUUAAUAUGUUAAUUAAUAGUCGUCCAAGCAACCAUCAAGACACAGCCAACAGAACAAGCUAUUAGCAACUCAAAUUUUAUCAAUCAUUACAUGUACUAGAGCUUAAUUGGCAAGGAAGAAGUGAAUUUACUUGGCUUUUAAUUCGUUCUUUAUCCUCGAAGCAGUCUUUGCAUAUCUACCAGAGGGAAUUUUGUCAAUGUAUUAACUGCAUUUCCCUGCUUCACUAAUGGUUAGAACAUAAAUAAAGCAAGGUGUUCUGGAACAACGUCAAAUCAAACAUAAAACCAAUUUAUGCAUGACAAGGGCAGAAAUUAAGGUCAAUACAUGCUGCUAAAUUUACUCCAUUACCAAGGACAACUUCACCGAUGAUCUUGGGAUUUGUAGUAGUUGUUGCGAUGGUGAACAACCAUGGUGCUGUACUUGUAAUCUGUCCUUGUACAAGACCAUUAUUUCCUGCCGAUUACAGUAAGUAUUCCCUUCUGUGCUGCAUGAAAAGAUCCAAUUGCUAUAGAAUUAUCUUUCAAUCAACCGGAUAAUUGAAACCAAUUAAAAUUGUAAUAAUGUCUACUCCAUCGGCUAUAGCAUCGUUGAAUCAAGCCAAUAUAUCAGCAUCAUCACAGCAUGGAAAAGCACAAGCAUUGUAUACAGCAUUCCUUGCUGCAGGCGCCCCUCCUCGUAUAGUACCUUCUACAAUUCCAUAGUAACUCACAUCCAUGACAAUGUUUCCUGCAGCUGUGUGCGUUCCAUUAUGACCCUAUAAAUCUGUUGCAGAAUCUGAUACAUGGUACCGAGCUCCAAUAAUUUUUCUGUAGACAUGUACACAUCAAAAUGAUAAUCGAAGUUUCCCAUUCAACAUUUCCUAUGUAAACUAACAAAAAGUAGAAACUUUUCCUGUUGCACAUGAAAUCAAUCCCGCCGUAACACACUCCUUUCCAUUUGCUGGGAAUAGGACCAAAACUUUGUUCACGAAAACUCUCUGAUUCUGGCCAAAUUCCAGAAUCAAGUAACUCCUAUGACUAUAUCACUCUCAAAUGCAAGAUUUCGGGGGGCACUUAUAGGAAAACAAAUAAAGUCGCACGAUGCUGUUGUAUAAGUUGAAGCCUUUUGCUUGGAAAUAUAGAAACCACAUGAUCAUGAGCUGCAAAUUUAGUUAAGAACUCACACAUUAGUGGAAGAUUAAUAGAUUUCAAAAAUCAGGAAAGUUGAAAGAGACUAACGUUGCAAAAUUGCACAGACCAGCCAACUUUUGCUGCUCUUGCUUUGUAAGGUAGGCUGAAAAUCCAUUGAAACUCCUAGUAUAACUUCUUCCCAAGAUUUCCCCUUGAUAAUUUCCAUGACAUAAAGAAAAAGAAAUAAAUAAUGUUAUAAAAAAGUUUUUUUUAUGCAUCAAUUGGUAUGUAGUAUAAGUUUGUGGGCACUGAAUAUAUGCAUUAAUUGCUAUCUUAAGCUUCUUCCAGGAUACUAACAUGGUGCUCGGAAGCUGAAUAUUCUCUUUCAGGAUGCGAUUCCACGUAAACUGUAAACCUGUCAUCAAGUAAAAGAAAACUAUCAUUUCUUGACUUGCUGCAUGUUAUUGAAUUUGAACGCUUCAGUUAUGCGACAGUUAUAUUUAUCGUGUAAAAUGUUGUAGUUAUGAUCACUACAUUGAAGUACAAUGCUGCAAAUUCAAUAUAUUACCCGAUACGCAUUAAUCAAAGAAAAUUAAUCUUUUACAGAAAUGAAAAGAGAAGAUAUCAAUGGCACUAUUGCCAAUACUGAUGGGCAACAUAUCCAGUUCUAUAGGCAACAUUAGCCAUUGUUUUCAGGAAUUACAUUUUCUAGCUCCAACUAUAUAUUGUUACUUAUGUUCCUUAAUGUAUGUUAAUCUCUAUUAGUACAUUUUUUCAGACCUAAAAGAUUUCUGGGUCGUACAAUACGAAAUCAAAAGGUGAUGUGUACAAAUGGUCCUUAGAAAGGGUAAGCCUGUCUCUUAGGACUUAAAUACAAGGAUCAAAGAUGCAUGUCCCAUUUUGUGCAUAAUUAAUAUCAAAAACCAACCUGAUUUGUUUAGAAAAGUUUGUUAAAACAAUGCAACAUUACCUUUAGUCAAAAAUCGUGGGCUAUUGUUGCAUUUAUGAGUUACAUAAAAGUCAUCCAUACAGGCAGAAGAAAUCCAGCAUUUCUUGCGGCUUUGGAGUGCUUCGUUUUUACUCAUGCUUGUAUCUUGAGCCAGAUUUGAUAUCUCAAGAAUGAGACUCUGAUAAGAUUAGAGUAAGUAUGCUCAAGAUUUGAAGCGAGGCUCAACUUAGUAAUGUUUUGUGCAAGAUUAUUUGUGAGUGUUGUUAUUUUAUACAUUUUUUUAGUGUAAUGUAUUAUUUGUUUGCCUUUAUUAUCAGUAGACUUAAUCCAUUAAUUUGGUAAAUCCACCACAAUCUAACAAAGCUCUGUUACUCGGGGAGUCCCAUGGACACAGUACCCGUACAAAAUAAAGAUUCCAACAUAGAUAUGGGAGGGCAAAAUAGAGAGUCUGAAAAACAUAAUAGAAAAGCUUGAGAAGGGAAGUGGAUAAUGGACCAAUGAGAACAAGAAAAUAAAACAAUUAAACCCUAAUAUUUAUUCUCAUCCACUUAUUGAGUAGAAGGAUCAUGUCAUGAAAUCAAAAGAUUAUGGAAUAACUUGUAACAAAAUAUUUUUCCCGUAAUGAUAUACUAUAUCCCAUAUGAUUGAAGAAAAAGAAAAAUGACUUGCCUGACUUUCUUCACCAGAAUGGUGCAUAAUAGGCUCAUUAGAAUUGCUAAUACAAAUAAGAAACAAAAUGCUAUAAACCCAAAAGAGUAGUACAGCGACCCUAAAACAUGCUUUAACUUUUCCUUAAAGUUGUGACUCAAAUAUUUAAGAUCACAACAAAGUUCUCAUUUCAAUUGUUCUAAAUGCAACAACGAGCUGCAUGCAUAUUGACUUGUCUUGCUACAUUGAUUAAUAGUUUUUAACGUUGGAAAGGAAACACAAAAAAUUUAAGCUAUAGUGAUGAUUGAGUAAUAUUUCUGAGAUCUGAAUUAAAAUGUGUAAUACCUUUCCUAUUUCGGAUGGUAUGAAUUAUGCGUUAUGUUUCUUGUAGGGAGAUGUAAGUUGGCCUACCUACCUUCCAUUUUUGCCUAUAAAAGAAAUUUUUUGUUCAAUAUAAUACUGGAACUAAUAAGAAUUAGAAAAGUAUUUCUAUUUCCAGUCAAAGAAAAUUGAGACGUCAAAACCAGAAACCUUAUUGUAACUUGAAUGUUUGUGAUGUCUUUUGUAAGCAUUAUUUUCCAUUCAGUUGGUACUAGCUUAAUUAUCUUUAGUAAGGUUCUAUUUGAUAAUUUAACUCAGCACUCAAACUUAAUGGGUUCAGAUCAUAAUAUGUUCAAACGCAUUUGAUAACUAAAAAUAAGACAUUUGAAUUAAUUAAGUGACACUGAAUUUUGCACAAUUUAUUUCAAAAAUAAGUGAUAAAUUAUUCAAGUAUCACUUAAUGUGAUAUACAUUUAAAUGUUUCAGAUUUAAUACUCAACAAUUCAGUAAAUUAACGAAUUUAGACUUUAGAUUUCAAAUUUCAUUUUUCAAACUUUAGUUUUAUCAAACGUACCCUAAGGGUGUGUUUGAUAAAACUGAAGUCUGAAUCUAUUAAAUUAUUGAAUUUUUAAGUAUUAAAUCUAAUACAUUUGACUGCAUAUCACAUUCAGUAAUAAGUGAAUAGCUUAUCACUUAAUUUUGGGAGCAAAUUUUGCCUAGAAAAUUUAAUACUAUUUAAUUAAUUCAGAUGUUAAAUUUUUUAUUAUCAAAUGGUCUGAAUAUAUUAAAAAUUGAAUCCAUUAAGUUUAAAUGCUGAAUUGGAUUAUCAAACAGAAUCUAAGUCUAUUAAGGGGAUUGAACCAAUAAAUUUGAUGAGUUUCAGUUUAACAAUAUAUUUAACAAAUUAUCACUGCCCAAUAAGGGCCCAUCUAAAAACACUUGAAACAAGUGCAUGCUUGUUUGGUGAUUUCCGGCUGGGCUCCCGCUGCUCUUGCAGUGUCCAUUAACGAAUUCCUAUUGUCAAUUUUGGGUCGUAUAUCCACCAGCCCAUGGAAUUUAUUUACAAAGGGAAAUCCUUUUAAGUUGUGAAUUUAAUUAGUAUAACGAGAAAUAAUUUGAGAAAAUUACAACAAAGUACAAACCAUAUGUGCAAGUUUUCUCAAACACAUACCAAUUAUGAAUAGCUUAAGAAAUGAUGAAUAAAUCAUCUUUUUCAGCUUUUCUUUUUGGCCCAUUGUUAAAUCUUCUUUGUUCCCUCAACAAAAAAAAAAAGAAGAAAGAAAUAAACUUCAUCUUUUUAAUUAGUGAAUAAAAUGUAUAUGAAGAGAAAAAGAUAAUUAAAUAUCUUAAUACUAAAACAUAAUGCUACUUAAGAAGUUUCAAAAAUUUUGGUAUCAGUUAGUGAUAAUAAUUUCUCCUAACGCAUUCUUUUAUCUACUACAAAAAAAAAACGUUAUAACUUAUUAUAAAAACCAUCCAAAAUCACAUUGAUUCUUAAGUAUUCCCCUUUCUCCUUGUAAGGGAUGAAUUGCAUCCAAAUCAGGUUCCUUACAAGUGGCUAGCACCCUAAUGGCCUAAUCCAUGGAAGCCAUAUUACAAAAGUGGACUACAAAAGCUAGGGGAAUAUAAUUUCCCAUACUUCUUAUUGUAAUCAUUCCCAAUUUACCUUGGCAUAUACUGGUUUGUUACAAGACUUCAAUCGCUAGCUCUGAACCUCUGGCUAGUAUGUAAUGGCAGAUUAUCUACUAGGAUCAGAGGCAGUUACUAGAUUGGAAAUCAAUACCAGACUAGUAGUGCCCUUUAUCUUGUUGCUUUUGUAUCAUUGGGUUCUUGAAAACAAAAGGCUAGAGAAUCACACCGGGCACAAGUUGCAGUAAAUGAAUUUUGAUUGAACAUGAAUUUAGCAUUUUACCCACCUCAAAUGCUAUUCUGGAAAGUUGCCAAAACUGAAGUUUAAGCUCAAAAAACUGCUUGAACACUGCCCCAAACAGGGCCUUUUUUUUUUUUUUUUUUUUUUUUUUAAAAACUACUUGAGUAAGUUCUACGAAAUCCAGGACUAGAAACUCUUGUUCCACUUGAUACGCUGAUUGUCUUGAUGCCAUUUGCCUAACUUCUGAGUGGAUCGGGACUGGAGAAGGAAGACAAACGCAUGUGUGGCCUUCAUUUAUGCCCCGUCUGCUGCUUCAGAAUCUAGUUGCAGUUCCCGUCUAAGAGGAAGAAUCUAAAGGACAAAGAAACAAGCAGAAGACUUUAGUAGUCAUGAAAUUAUCAUUAGUCUCCUCAGGGCUGGAAUUUGAAAAAAACCCUGAAUACUAACAUGUUGAUAUUGGCUACCCAGAACAGAAAGUUAUCGCUAAAAUAAUUACAAGCUAAUACCAUCAUUUCUAAUUUUGAACUUACGUUUCAGUGUAUCUAAUCCUUAUUAAUUUGUAUAAUUGCUAAUUCUUUCUACUAAUUAAGUCAAAAGAGAAUUGUUUUGAAUGAUCUUUUUUCUUUUUCGAAAAUUGUAAUAUAAUAUUUUGAUCAUAAGCGCAUUUGAGAUUUUCAAAGAUGUUAGAUAGUGAUUCUUGAAAACAACGAAAAACUCCACCCAAACAGAUAAGCCAUGUCUGUAUCUUUUUUCUAUCUUUCUUAGAGGUAAUCCACGAAUUGGACACUAACUAAGAAAACAUCAUAACAUUGACAUAUUAGAACACUGAAGUUCACAUUACCAGAAGAAUAAAAAAUGAGGGAUGAGAACUGACUGAAAUUAUGCAGGAGGAUUAUUGAGAGAGAAGCAUCUUCGAAUCAUUCCUAGAAUACAAGACAAGACCAUCAACAUCUCUGAAAUUUCUCAUGUAGAAAAUUUGUUAAGAAGAUUAACAUGUACGCGCAAAAUGAUAGCAGCCAAUCGCCCUAUAUAAACCCCCAAGCUGUGGCAUCUUGAAACCACAACCAGCUACCAGUUCACUUAGAAUUUUUGAAACACCAUGAAGUUCACCUACAUUUUGUCCCUUUUGGUUUUGUGCCUAACUUUAUACUUCACUUUCGCCAAUGCUGCAAAUUUCAACAUCACAAACAAAUGUACCUACACAGUUUGGGCAGCUGCUUCCACAGGUGAUGGCAGGCAACUCGACCGAGGCCAAUCAUGGUCCCUAGAUGUGGCUCCUGGCACCACCAAAGCUCGCAUUUGGGGCCGAACCAAUUGCAAAUUUGAUGCCAAUGGCCAGGGCCAAUGUCAAACAGGUGACUGCAACAAGCGCCUCAAAUGCCAAGGCUAUGGAAAUCCACCAAAUACGCUAGCUGAAUUUGCCCUAAACCAGCCUAACAACUUAGACUACAUCGACAUCUCCAACGUUGAUGGAUUCAACAUCCCAAUGGAGUUCAGCUCUGUAACUCCGUGCCGCGUUAUCAAAUGUUCGAAACCUAUUGUUGAUCAAUGCCCAGCUCAGCUAAGAACUCCAGGUGGAUGCAACAACCCCUGCACUGUUUUUAAAAGAAAUGAGUACUGCUGCACCAAUGGCCCAGGAAGCUGUGGCCCGACCGACUUCUCCAGGUUCUUUAAGAGCAGGUGCCCUGAUGCUUAUAGCUAUCCUCAAGAUGAUCGCACAAGCUUGUUUGCUUGCCCAAGUGGUACAAAUUAUAGGGUUGUCUUCUGCCCUUAAAUAAAGCUAGAUAUUUAAGGUUCUUGUGACAGCUUAUAUGCUCCAAGAACUUCACCAGAAAAGUAGAUUAUGAGAAAUAAACGCAUAUGUGAACCUUGUGGUAAUGGUUCACUGGAAUUGGGAUAAGUUUGAGCACAUAUAGCAUUGUGCGAUUUGUCUUCUUUAUCAGCAUUUUGGCUCUUUAAACAACUUAUGAACUAGAUCACCAGUUCAAAACUAAUGAAGUUUUACUAAAUUAAUCUGUAAGAAGGAUUUACAGAUCUCUAGUUUUAAAUUAGAUUGUCAAAAUACUUUGUUCCCCGCACUUCAAAAAUUUGAGUCAUAUUUAGGUUUAACUUACACAGGAGAAUUCCUUUUUUUUGGAAUUCAGACUAUCUCUCCAGUCAAAUACUAAGGUGUCAUAUAAAUCAAAAUAAUUUGUUUUAGUGUAUUACAUAAUGUUACCACGAAAUCCAGAGUAAGAGAAGUUUGUCUUACAAACAUUGAAGAAAUGGGAUGUUGGUGUAAAUUCAAAACAAAAAUGGGGAUUUCCAUGCUAAGGUAGACCCCAAAACAAUUGAAAAUGAUAAUCUCAUGAAAUAACAAAGAUGGUGAUAUGAAAGUUUACUAAGUAAGAUAAAGGUGCAAUUAAGGAGCUCAAGUGAUGUGGAAACUCGUAGAUGCCAAAUUGAUAAUUUGAUGCACUCAUGCUAAAUAGUACUAAUUCACUCUUAAAAGCUGGAAUUGGAGCCACUGCUAGAAGUUCCAUGAAGUUCAGUUCAAUUGUUAUAUUUAUUACGUAAUAUUAUUAUGCUUUUGGAAAAAGUAAUAUACAUGAACGAAAAUACUUGGUAUGUAGUGAAUACAACAUUAUAAUGUAGUUGUCUACCAAAAAUUUAAAUACACACAAUAAAAUAAUGCAUAUCUAUUCAAAUUAUGUAUCAGAAAAGAGUUAAAUAUUGCUCUAAGGAUAAAAAAUUAAGUGAUUAUAUAAUUGUUUUGAACGCUAUUUUUAGGAAAAUCAUUAUAUAGCAUCUUAGUGAUAACUGCUUUUGUGAUAUUAAAAGAUGUUAGAAAUAAUUCCUGAAAUUAAUCUGGUUAAAAAACGCUCCAUUCAAACAGAAAAUUCAUGUCCUUUUUUUUCUUUUUUGGUCUUUCGUAGAGGUAAUCCACAAAUUGGACACUUACGAAAAAGCAUUGGAACAUUGAUUGAAAGAACAACGAGGGAUGAGAACUGACUGAAAUUAUGCAGGAGGAUUAUGGACAGAUCCGCAUCUUUUGAAUCAUUCCUAGGAUACAAAACAAGACCAUCAACAUCCCUAAAAUUUCUAUGUAGAAAUUUGUUGAAAUAUCAACACUUCCAUGCAAAAUCAUAGCAACCAAUUCACCUAUAUAAACCCCCUGGCUGUGGCAUCUCCAAACCACAACAGCUACCAGUUGAAUUGGAAGGUUUUGAAGCACCAUGAAUUUCACCUACACUUUGUCACUUUUGGUUUUGUGCCUAGCUUUAUACUUAACCUUCACCAAUAGCUGCAAAUUUCAACAUUAACAAAAUAAACACAUAAAACAAUUAAACCUUUACCAUGUAUUCUCUUUUACUUAUUGAUCGGUCACAUCAUGAAAUACAAAAGGAUUAUAGAAUUACUUACUUAUAUAAAUAUAUUCCAGGGUAAUGUUAUCUAUUCCAUAUGAUUGAUGAAAAGCGAAAAUGACUUGCCUGUCUUUCUUCGUCAGAAGAGUACCUAAUAGCCGCACUAGAAUUGCCAGCACAAAUAAGAAAUAAAAUGCUGUAAAACCAAAAAGAGCAGUGCAGCCACUGUUGGCUUCUAAAUAUCAGCAUAGUGAUUGUUAUGGCUACAACAACUAACCACCCGAAAACAUGUUUUAACUUUUCCUUAAAGUUGUGACUUAAAUGUUCAACAUCUUAAUGUAAGAGGAAGGAUUCAAUUCCCAGACCUCUUACUUGCACUCCCUCCCCUUUAAACUAUUCAACUCAUCUCAUCCCCGAGUUGUAUGUAUAUUGACUUGUCUUGUUAUAUUAAUUAAUAUCUUUUAACGUUGGAAAGGAAAUACAAAAAGUUUAAACUAUAGUGAUGAUUGACUAAUUUUUGUGAGAUCUGAAUUGCCAUGUGCAAUACCUUGAAGGUGUAAAUUGACCUACCCACCUUCCAUCUUUUACUACUGCUGGGCAAUUAAAAUAAUUUUUCUUUGUUCAAUAUAAUAGUGGAAUUGGUAAGAAUUAGGAGAGUAUUUCUAUUUCUAGUCUAAGAAAAUUGAACAAAUUUGACAAAUUUCAGUUUAAAAAUAUUGACAAAUUAUCACUGCCCGAUACGGGCCCAGUCCAUCUAAAACACGCUUGAAGCACAGAGCAGAUUGAUUUGGUGGUUUCCGGUUGGGCUUCCGGUCCUUGAUCCGCGUCUAUUAACGAAUUCGUAUUGUCAAUAUUGGGCCGUAUAAUCCACCAGCCCAUGGAAUUUAAUUUAGGAAAAUAAAUUUCUUUUAAGUUGUGAAUUUAAUUAGUAGAACGAGAAACAAUUCAGAAAAUUAGUAUAAAGUACAAACCAUAUAGUACAUGUUUUUCUCAAUAAAAUACCAAUUAUGACUAGCUUAAGGAAUUGAUAAAUAAUUCAUCUUUGUUCAGCUUUUCCUUUUGGGUGAUUCCCAUUAAUAAAAUCAUCUUUGUUCUCUCAAAAAAAAAGAAAAGAAAAGAAAAGAAAGAAAGAAACGAACUCCAUCCUUUUAAGUGGUAAAUAAAAUGAAUAAAAAGAAAAAUGCAAAUAAAUAUCUUAACACUGCAAAAAAGAAAUUGAUAUUGAAACAUACUGAUAUUUAAGAAGUUUUUAUAAAUUUUGGCAUCACCUACAGAUAAAAUGAUAUCUCUGUAAUGUGCCUUUUAUUAACUAUAAAAAAAAAAUACGUUACAGAGGUUCCAGUGGCAGAGGUAGAAAUACUUUUCAGUUGGGGCACGAAUUAACUUUCCCAAUUUUUUUCCAAUUUACAAGUGGCUAAUAAUAACAAAAGAUUAUUUUUUUAAAGGAUCAAAUCUAAUAGACUGAUAAACCACCACUGCUUUGUUAAUGAAAAAUGCAAAGCUAUGGGCCAAGGUAAGGUAAAUAUGCAAGCAAAAGUACGUUGGAACUUGGCAUCUAAAGAUUUGCAGCUAUUUGCUUUCUUCUUUGUUUACGUUUUGAUAAAUUAUACAAUAAUGACUAUGCUAUAUAAUAACUAUUUCAAAAUCCAGCCAAGGCACAAUUUAGAAUUUUCAAGAAAUCUCAAAACUAUUCUAGGUACCUCAUUUGGGUCAAUAGGGAUAUGUGCCCCAUUGGCCACAACGUAAAUCUACCCUUUUUUUUAGUAAAAAAAGUUUGGGUGAAUUUGAUUUCGAUUAUCGUCACGGGUCAAAAUCUGUUUCCGGAACUAUAAGUCGCUUGCAGAAGUUCUUAUAAAUCACCCAACAACAGAGACCUCACAAUGUAAAUCCACUUAUAGGUUCUUAGUUCGACGAUCUGAAGCUUUCCUUUGCCAUAAUAAAGCAUGAACUACAUUCAAACUGCAUUCCUUACACUGGGCACAAGUAGCAGUAAAUGAAUUUUGAUUGAAUAUGAAUUUAGCAUUUUAGGCUUGUAGCAACCAGAAAUGCUAUUCUGGAAAGUUGCCAAAACUAAAGUUUAAGCACAAAAAACUGCUUGAACACUUCACGAAACUGCCCAAAUUGGGCUUUUAAUUUUUUUUCUCCAAUUACUUGAGUAACCUCUACGAAAUCCUGGAAUAGAAACUCUUGUUCUACUUGAUAUCCUGAUUGAAUUGUCUAAGCUUCUUGAAGCUAUUUGCCUAACAUUCGCUGGUCUCAGACUUGAGUAGGAAGACAAACAGACGUAUGGUCAUGAUUUGUGCCCAUUCGGCUGCACCAAAAUCUUGUUGAAACUCUAGACUAAGAGGAAGAUUCCAAAGAAAAAUAUCAAAACAGAAGACUUUAGGAGUUACGAAAUUGGCAUUUAGUCUCCUUGGGUGUGGAAUUUGAAAUCAUCAUCAAUACUAACAUGUUGAUAUUGACUACCUCACAACAGAAAGUUAUCGCGAAAAUAAUUAGAUGCUAAUACCAAACGUUUUAAUCUCUAACCAUCAUUUCUUAUGUUAAACAUAGGUUUUAGCGUAGCUAAUCAAUAUAUGUACAAUUGCUAAUUUUUUCCACUAAUUAAGUCAAAAGAUAAUUGUUUUGAAUGGUGUUUUUGCGAAAAUUCCAAUAAAAUAUUUUGUUAAUAAACACAUUUGAUAUUUUCAGAGAUGUUAGAUAGUGAUUCCUGAAAACAGUGAGGUUGAAAAAACAUUUCAACCAAACAGAUAAGUCAUGUCUGUUUCUUUUUUCUAUCUUAGAGAAUUGGACACUAAAGAAAAGAAAUUGUAACAUUGAUAUAUAGAACAGUCAAGUUCACAUCACCAGAAGAAUAAACAAUGGGGGAUGAGAUUAUGCAGAAUAUGGACGGAUAAGCAUCUUUGAAUCAUUCCUAGAAUACAAGAAAGGGCCAUCAACAUCUCUGAAAUUUCUCAUGUAGAAAAUUUGUUAAGAAGAUUAACAUGUACACGCAAAAUGAUAGCAGCCAAUCGCCCUAUAUAAACCCCCUACCUGUGGCAUCUUGAAACCACAGCCAGCUACUAAUUCACUUAGAAAGUUUGAAACACCAUGAAGUCCACCUACACUUUGUCCCUUUUGGCUUUAUGCCUAACUUUAUACUUAACCUUCACCAAUGCCGCAAAUUUCAACAUUAUAAACCAAUGUACCUACACAGUUUGGGCAGCUGCUUCCCCAGGCGGUGGCAGGCGGCUCGACCGAGGCCAAUCAUGGUCCCUAGACGUGGCUCCUGGCACCACCCAAGCUCGCAUUUGGGGCC
rnacentral:lncRNA from 1 species